CUCGCGCCUGUGCUGACAGGCUCUCUGGCUAAGAAACCGUCCCACGUUGUUUAAAAAAUGGCUGGGAGCAAGUUGGGGGGAAACACUGAGCUCCGUGGGGCUGCCUGGUGGCGCGAGCGGCGUGCGUCCUGGGUUUGUCAUUCUCUGUCACCAGGGGCCUGGGCAGUUGAAAUAUUUCAGAACAACAGGGAUCCCUCCUGGCCUAGGACACUGAUCUUCAUGAUGAAUUAAGAGGGGAAAAGGGAAUUGCAAAAUAAUGUAAAAGGAAGAUGUUUCUGCGGAAGACAGUAUGUGUAAUUGCGUGGGAACAAGACCAAAAGGGACCACCCUGUGACGACAGGCUCCCUUGGCGACCAGGAGGAAACUGGUGAAGGUGUUUUUCCUCUGCCUCUGCAAGAUGACAUCUGCACACAGGGCAGGGCCCAGGCCGCACCCCUCCCUGCAGUUCUCGGAAAACUGGUGACUCUUUCUCAUGUGACUCUCAGCACGGAAGGUCGAGUAUGCGGCAAGCCCAGGCUUGUUGACUGGCGCCUGCUUAGCCGAGCUCUUCUGCCAGGGCAAGAUUCCCACAGCUCACUCCUCUCCUAGAUCUGCCCCACUGGUCUUGUCCUGGCAACAUUUCCAGGGGUGGUUUGGGGUGGGAUGAAAGAGCAGUGGGGGAAGAGGGAAUCGCCUGUCAGAAUGAUCUAGAAAGCUGGGAGGGGGUGUAUGAAAUCAGCCCAGUGACCCUUCCCUGCUGCUUCACAGUACCAGGCUGUGGAGUCAGCCCUUUAUUUACCUGAGAAGGCGCCUGGGAGGAGGGUGUUCGUAGCUGUACUGCUGCAUCAGGGGCCCAAGUUGAUACCUUGCUUUCCUCUACCUCUGGUCUCAAAAUCUCUCAUUUACAUAUAUCAUUCCCGACUCCCAGAAACUGUCCUAGAUUUGAUUUUUCAAAGAGGAGGAGGAAGGAGAAUCAGCAAUGCACAAAGCAUAGACUUCUCCAUCACAAAGAGAGGUAAGACUUUGUACCCUUGUGUCUGGAGCUGCCCCAGCCACCUACUGGGGGCAAAAUGGCACGAUUUCAGGGGGUCCUUGUUGAGAAGUUCUCCUGGCCUCUAAGUCCCAUAGCUGGGAAAGGAAUGUACUUGAGGAGAGAUUAAGUUGAGGGCAGAGAACCACACAGAUUUUCUGGCCUGCCUUAGGGGGCCAGGGCUGUGCCCACAGUACAGUGGACCACAUGGCCCCGGUUCUGCAUUCUCCUUCUCCAAAUAAGGCUAAAAAUACCACCACCCUGAUGGAGGACAGGGGCAGGGCGGCCAGUGCGUCAGCAGAUUACUGAAGACCAAAACAAGCUGUUCCAGCAAACGGCAGUAAACAGAGGACCUUAGAUCCCUGGGUGGGGCUGGGUGGUGAUGGGCCUGCCCCAGCUGGGAGGGUGGCCACAGUUUGCUCCUUCCUGGGCAGCUCUGGGUUGGAGGGGAAAGAAGAACUGGAAGGAGCCCCCUGGGCAACAUCCGAAUUCCAGGGUUGGGCACCCCCCCCAUCUUCCAAGCCCUUUCUCAGGGCCAUGCCACUUGAGAUCACCCGUCUCCCCAGUGACUGGCCUCCUCAUCUUGUUCCGAAGCCGGCUCAGCUCUGUUGUUUUGAAACAUAUUGAUAGUGCUUCAGGUUUACACCAAGGGCAGGACGAUGACAGUGUUGCUGCUGCCCGUUGAGAAUGUGCCAGAACUCCUGCCCCCAUCUGCCAAGAGCUCAGUUCCAGAGCUGUGGCCUCCUGAGUCAUCUUGGGCUCCUCACUUUCCAGAGACCCCUGGCCUGGGCCCUUUCCCUCUGAGCCCUAAGGCCCCUCAGCUCAGGGCCUGGGUCAGGAAACUGCACAGUCACUAUGUGCUGGCGGGAAGCCUCGCCUCACAGCAGCCGUGCAGGAAAACGACCUGGGCCCCACCCCCAGCCCCAACCGGCCUCUUCCUGUGUGGCCCCGGCCUACUCGGCCGCCACCUCUUAAGUGACUGUGGGCAAUUCCUUACCAUCUCCCAGGCUUGCUUUCCCCAUUCUGUGUGCCCCUCCUUGCCCUAACAUUUCAUAAUUCUGAUGAAUGUUGUUUUGCCUGGAACGUUCUUCACUUAGUGGCUGUCUGGCUACCCGCUCUCAGUUCUUUCAGUCGUCUGCCCCAAGGUCACUUCUCAGAAAGUCCCCUGACUGUGGCUCUAAAAGCCCCCCACCCCUGACUUGAUCUCCUCGAAGGAGGGGUUUCUGUCUGUCUUGUCCUGGAUCUCUUUCCCCCUCAGAGUCCUAGGCACAUAGGAGACCUCAGUAAAUGUGUGACUGCUUGGUUUAUGUUUUGUGGAGGUCACUCUGACCACUGUGAGGCUCUCGGUGAAUAUUUGUGGACUGACUGAAGGAAGGAAGUGUGUUUCCAAGUCAGCUGCAGCUCUGCAAAUGCCCAGAUCUGUGGGCCUGUGCAGCCCUGGGCUCCCAGGUCAGGAGUCAAGGACAAAGAGGGGCAGCAGCUGCCCCAGAUGGACUGGUAAUGCCUGGGCAAAGGAAACUAGGGUACCUCUUGGCCAAGUGUUGUCAGAAGACAUUUGAAGGAGAGGGCAUUGGAGGGUGGAGAUCCCCCAGUCCUGGUUUUAGAAAGCUGGGGAGUAGGUGCACCAGCCCAUCCGCAUUUUAUGCCCUCAUUUUCUUGACCCACGUGGCCCAGGAAGCAGGUAGCCAGAGGGAACAGAGGGGGAGAGGGCUUCUCAGCUUUUGACCCUUGUCUCUCCUGGGGGUAUGGGGUCUGUGGGCAAUUGGUCCCGGAUGCCCCUUUCUUGCUACUCCCAGGCUUCCUCCUAGGGCCAGGCCUUAGGCUGGGCCUUCCAGGAAACAACUCUGAUGAUGUCGGUCUCCUGCAUCCGGAUUCCCAGGACUCCCUGUUCCCUGGCAUGGGCUCCCCACCCCCUCUUGAGCACUUGGCCUUUUGCCCACUCUCACAGGCCCUUAGUUCGGUGCCCAAUCCUGCCAGAUACACCCACUUUCUUGAGCCCUGCCCAAGCAGCCUCCCUGCAGAACACCCUGUCUGCCCUCCUCUUCCAACCCCUGUGCUGGCUUGUGGUCACCCGCAUCUCCUACAGCCCCUGAUCCUAACUAUCACAGCACUAGCAGGUGGCCCCAUUCGCACCCCGAGCUCCCUGUGCCGAGCACAGGAAGGCCUGUGGGAUGAGCGGCCUGGUCCCACAAGCCUUGCUUCCCUCACGCUGCCCUAUGCCUCCAGCAGCCCCCAGACCUCCUUUGCCCCACUGUUGCUGACUAAGCAAAUCCCAACUUUCCUGACCCCACACUUUGGCCUGUGCCCACCUUUCUAGCCUUGUCCCCAAGCCCUCCCACCAGGAAUCUUGGGCCAGCUCCCGGGGGGCAGGGAGCCGGGCCAGGUGCUGACGUCUUGUCAUCUCCCAUCCAUGGUUUGCAAAGCCCCCAAGAACCCCCUUCCUUCCCCAGGGUCUGCUAGCAGCCCCAUUUCCACUAGGGUCCCUGCUGACUGGAAUAUCCUCAGCCUGGGCCUUGCUGAACACUGGUUGUUUAGAGUGUCCUUGAACCUCUGAAGGAGACUUUUCUGCUCCAACGCCCCUAGUCUGACUGUCACUUAUGAACAAGUCCACACAUGACACCAGGGCUCAUGUGGGCAAAGUAGAAACCCUCUGGAGGCUGCUGACCGUGACGUUGCAGGGGAGACCUGUACUCUCAUCGGCUCAGAAUGUCAGCAGUCACUGCCACCCUCACCAAAAAAAUGACAAGGUCAGAUGGGCAGGAGACACAGAGGUCAUAGGGAAGAGCUGAGCCUAUUCUUAUUCUCCCUGUUGCAAACUGUGUCAAAUAGCUUAAAAUAGCUGGAAGGCUCAGGAUGUGUGGGGGAUGGGAGGUGCUGGGAGUGGGGCCCAGGGCAGCUGGGAAGGAGAAAGGGGCUGGGCAGAGGCCAGGGACAGUCAGCUCCUGUGGGCUGGGGGUGGAGCAGGAGGGAGAUGACUAGUCCCAGGGUGUGCCCACCCUAUCUCCUGGGUUUCUCCAAAUAGCCCUAGUUUUAAAUACUUUGACUAAGUUGUCAUUUAACAGAAAAAUAAAAUAAUUCCAAAGCAGAAUCUGUUUCUGGGAACUGGAUCCUGAUCUUUGGAAGACUUGGGUCCCAUCACCAAGCUGGAGAACCCAGGGGCACCCCAUAUCUGGUGCACUUGGAGGUCUGGGACCCCUCAUCAUGGACUCAGAGGCAGGAGGAAGGUUGGGGCAGUCAGGAGCCAGGGCACCCACUCUGAGAGGGGGUGGGCAUGCAGUACCAGACCCACUCCCUAGAUUCUGUCCCAGCACGACCACAGUUCCAGGCUGUCUGGAUCGGGUGGGUGGUGCUAGAGUCACUUCCGUAGCUGAGCAGGAGGAAAGGGCGGGCUCAGCUGCCCCCUGCUGGCCCAAACUGGACCAGCAACCUGUGGGCAGUGACCAUGGCUGCACCUCAACCUGUUGUCAGCCACUGGGGACGAGAAGGUCACCAACUUGGCACCGGAUUUGCUGCUGAAGUCUUGAGAGCCAGGCCCAGCCCUAUCCCUGCAUUCUGGGUGAAGCUGGGUAAUCCACCUGCCUUCUCUGAAAUGUGGGGUGGAUUUGGACAGGGAGAAAGUGCCAGGUGGCUCUAAAAGGUCCUCCCAGCCAGGGAGGACAAGCAGUGAGAAUCUGUCCCAAGGUCGAGGUCUGUACUUCCCUAGGGUCACAGCUGUCAGUGUCCCUCAGGCUCAAGGUCACAGCCAGGUGUUACAACACCAAGGUAAGUGGUUUGGAUCUCCAUACUGGCAAGCCUCCAAAAACAAAAAGUCCCAGCCAGGCUUUGCUUGGCUGCCCUGCCCCACCCCAUGCCCUCUGACUUGGCUCCACUUAUCUCUCUCCUACUGAGCCUGUCAGGCCCCUUGUGUAGGAAGCCUUCUUUGAUCACAGGUCCUCCUCCCUGUCUAUUGCCAGUUUCUUUAUCUUUUUUGGGGUGUGACCAGCUCAUCUGUCAAGGGCAUCGUGUAUACAAAGUGUCUGGUUAUCCCAGUCAUUUGUGUUCCCAUCUCCAUUGUCCCCUGGAAAGCUGAUGGGACUCUGAGCUGACACACUCUUGGCCAAUUCAGUUGCUAAUCUUGCAGCCCCGUGCAUGGGGAGCAGCUAGAACUCCUCGGAGGCCCCUGGCAUGCUCACCCCAGCCCUCUCCUUCCUAGCUUUAUCUGUGUCCCUUGAGCCUUUGUCUUUUCACACAGUGUGACAGCUUCCUGGGUGGCCCUGCUUUUCUGAAUCCAGGAGGGUCUCUGGCCUCCUGUGGGUCUCUCAAUAUGCUGGCAUUCUGCUGGACGGUGACAGCACGAGGCCCUCAACAAUGGGUCUGGGCUGGCCACUUGCUGGGCUGGAGUUGUGGCGGCAGCUGCCUGUGCCCAGCUAGCUUACGGUUGGGAAGACCUGCAGGAGUGUCCCAGAUGCUGCUGAAAGUGGUGGAGAAUAGCACAGAAAUGUCCCACAGAAGGGACAAUGGGAUUGCAUGUGUUGACUGUUCUGGUCACUUCUGUUACCUGAGUUCUGAAGAGUUAGGGAGCACAGACUCCCUGGAGAGUCUCAACAGGGCCUCUUCUGGCCUGGGGGGCCUUUGGAGCCAGGUGCUGGCUGAGCCGGGCAGUGUGUACCCGGUUGGCAGGGGUAAGCCACUCCUACUGCUCCCUGCAACCCAAGGCAGCUGGUAUUUUAAAAUAACAGCCUCUGAUGCAUUAAAAAGCCGGAAAGAAGACCAAGACAGUAAACCUCAGGGUGAUGUUAUGGGUUGAAUUGUGUCCCACUCAAAAAAAUGUUGAAAAAAAAAAAGGUUGAAAUCCUAACCUCAGAAUGUGACCUUAUUUGGAAAUAGGGUUGUUGCAGUUGUAAUUAGUUAAGAUGAGGUCAUAGUGGGGUAGGGUAGGCCUCUAAUCUAACAUAACCGGUGUCCGUAUAAGGAGACAGCCGUGUGAAGACAAGAAACACACAUGCUGAGAACACCACGUGAAGGUGCAGGCGGAGGUUGGGUUCAUGCAGCUGUAAGCCAAGGAACACCAGAGAUGGCCAGCAAGGCACCAGAAGCUAGUGGCAGGCAAGGAAGGAUUCCCCUGCGGGUUUCAGAGGGAACAUGGGGCCCUGCCCACACCUGAAUUUUGGACUUCUAAACUCCAGUACUGUGUGGGCAAGGAAUGGGUAAAGGGCCAAGUGUAUAUUAUUGAAUAUAAUAAUUCUGAUAUGAGCAUCACAGAUUGCGUGUGGGUGUUGAUGUUCAACCCUGUACCCCACAAAUAUGUACAAUCAACUUACAAUAAAAAUAAAAAUAAAAAACUCCAGAACCGUGAGACAA